UGGGGAAUUUUGGACAAUGGGGGCAACCCUGAUCCAGCAAUGCCGCGUGUGUGAAGAAGGCCUUCGGGUUGUAAAGCACUUUUGUCCGGAAAGAAAACGCCGUGGUUAAUACCCGUGGCGGAUGACGGUACCGGAAGAAUAAGCACCGGCUAACUACGUGCCAGCAGCCGCGGUAAUACGUAGGGUGCAAGCGUUAAUCGGAAUUACUGGGCGUAAAGCGUGCGCAGGCGGUCCGCUAAGACAGAUGUGAAAUCCCCGGGCUUAACCUGGGAACUGCAUUUGUGACUGGCGGGCUAGAGUAUGGCAGAGGGGGGUAGAAUUCCACGUGUAGCAGUGAAAUGCGUAGAGAUGUGGAGGAAUACCGAUGGCGAAGGCAGCCCCCUGGGCCAAUACUGACGCUCAUGCACGAAAGCGUGGGGGAGCAAACAGGAUUAGAUACCCUGGUAGUCCACGCCCUAAACGAUGUCAACUAGUUGUUGGGGAUUUCAUUUUCCUUAGUAACGUAGCUAACCGCGUGAAGUUGACCGCCUGGGGGA
rnacentral:rRNA from 1 species